rnacentral:tRNA from 1 species
GGGUCCAUAGCUCAGUGGUAGAGCAUUUGAAUGCUGAUCAAGAACCCGAUUGGGCCCU